rnacentral:rRNA from 1 species
GAUGAACGCUGACAGAAUGCUUAACACAUGCAAGUCAACUUGAAUUUGGGUUUUUAACUUAGGUUUGGGUGGCGGACGGGUGAGUAACGCGUAAAGAACUUGCCUCACAGCUAGGGACAACAUUUGGAAACGAAUGCUAAUACCUAAUAUUAUGAUAAUAGGGCAUCCUAUAAUUAUGAAAGCUAUAAGCGCUGUGAGAGAGCUUUGCGUCCCAUUAGCUAGUUGGAGAGGUAACGGCUCACCAAGGCGAUGAUGGGUAGCCGGCCUGAGAGGGUGAUCGGCCACAAGGGGACUGAGACACGGCCCUUACGCCUACGGGAGGCAGCAGUGGGGAAUAUUGGACAAUGGACCGAGAGUCUGAUCCAGCAAUUCUGUGUGCACGACGAAGUUUUUCGGAAUGUAAAGUGCUUUCAGUUGGGAAGAAACAAAUGACGGUACCAACAGAAGAAGUGACGGCUAAAUACGUG